AACGCCGCGUGAGGGAUGAAGCUCCAAGGAGUGUAAACCUCUUUCGGAAGGGAAGAACCCUUUUCAGAUGAAUAAUCUGGAGAGCUGACGGUACCUUCUAAAGAAGCCCCGGCUAACUCCGUGCCAGCAACUGCGGUGACUGAGCGGGCUGGCAAGGCGCAUA
rnacentral:rRNA from 1 species